rnacentral:tRNA from 1 species
GUGGUAGCUCAGUGGUAGAGUGCUUGCCUAGCAUGUGUGAGGCACUGGGUUUGAUCCUCAGCACCACA